GUCGUAGUAGCGGCGGCGGAGGGAGGGCGAGGACCGCUGAAGGAUUCGACGGUGGAGCUCAAACUGCUGGAAGUAGGUCUAUGAGGGUUAAUCUGAAAUCGGGAAUCGGGGAAGGGAUCUGGAGCGUUGACGGGAUGAGGAGGGAAAGGAGGGUAAUCGAAAAACGAAGUGGGAUUAGGAAGAGGGAAAUUGGUUUUAGCUUUAGGGCCUCGGAGGGUUAUGGCGGCGUUAUCGUAAGCACGGGCGGCGUCUUCGGCGGAAUCAAAGGUCCCUAACCAAACUCUUGUCUUCUUCCAAGGGUCUCUGAUCUCCGCCGCGAAUCUUCCCCAUGGCCUUUUACGGACUCCUCUGUAUCUCCGUUCCGAUCCGGUGGUAGGUGGUUCACGCGCCGCCGGUACCGGCACCGCCGC
rnacentral:misc_RNA from 1 species